AAAUUAUCGUAUAAUCCAAAGCCGAACAGCUAAAUCUCGAGCUAGGUAGCAAAAUCAUACACCAUAUGCGUUCAAAUUUGAUUAUUUCAAGAUACCUGUACUCUGCAGAAACAAGCUCACAUGCUACAAUAUGAUCUACACAGUUCGAAUUCAUCAUCAAUUUGUACGUCGAACAUCGCCGCGUCGCCGUUGUCUCCCAGAUGCGACAUGACAUUGAUCAUCCAUAACUUCCUGCCUCAUUUCUAGACUGUAACGAUCUAUCCGAAGUAAAGUUUUCUGUUCUGAUACGUUGGGAAUCAUUAUCUGCUUCUUGCAAGAGGGGAAAAAUGUGUUGCUCCGAUGAAGGACAUUGAGGACUUACUAAGUCGAGCCAAAGAAGAAUUUGGCUACAGUCACCCUAUGGGAUGCUUCACUAUUCCCUACAUCGAUGGUACAUUCGUUGAUCUCAUCUCCCAAUUGAAUGAGUCCUGAAAUAAGAUGUAUUUGUUAGACAUGGCCUAAUAAACUAGAUAGUACCAUUCUUAUAUAUGCUCUUUUGUAGGUGGAGAUAAAAGAAAUGCCUCUCCCAAUGAUGUAUAGAGAACUUCAUAUUCUAAUUUUAGAAAAUGAAAACAAUUCAUUCCAUGCAAGUGACACCUCUCGGGGCCUAGACCUUCCCAAAUACAUUUUGUUUUGUACAUAAGGAAGUACGUUUUCUACAUGACAUGUCUUCCAUAAGCAACAAUUUUUAUCUGGUGUACCAACACCGUACUAAACCUUGAAAGUUGUCGGAGUUCAUCAUUUGUGGGACUCCAAUAGCUGUACUGAUGUAUCACAAAGGCAAAGACUUAGCUGCCAUCUAAAAUUGGUCCUUUACUGGCUGAUUUUCCCAAGAAGUUUGGUGACUUUGUUUACCCAAUAUUAUUUCCUGAGUUCCUGAAGAUAAUGGGAGACAGGACCAUGUGAUACAGUAUACUUCACAAGUACUUGCCUUCUGGUUGGUCCCAUUCAGAGAUUUCUCACCACUCAUUUCUUAGAGCAAACUAUUGCCCACGUCACCAUUUUUCUUCUAUAUAUAUACUUGUUUUUAAGACCCAAGCAACUCAGAUCUCAAACUUUCAACCACCCACAAAGUUUUCUCGUUCUCUCAAUUGCUAUUGGGAAACCUCAAGUUUCUUCAAUUCUAAAUUCUUUUACUUUCUGUUCUGAAUAACAAAACCAUGGGUUUUCGUCUGGAAAAAAUUGUAAAUGCUGUGCAAAAUCUAGGACUUUCUUCUCUAGCAACAGACCAAGGAUUGUCUGUAGUCCGGAAAGGCUAUUGUGCAGUUUAUGUAGGAGAGAGCCAAAGGCGGUUUGUGAUUCCAAUAGCAUACUUGAAUCAGCCAUUUUUCAAGGACUUGCUCAGUGAAGCUGAAGAAGAAUUUGGUUACAAUCACCCUAUGGGAGGUCUCACCAUUCCCUGCAGUGAUGAUAAAUUCAUUGAUCUCCUCUCUCAUUUGAAUUAGGCGUGAACGAGAAUAUUAGUUAGACAAUCUUGUAGAUUAGAU